UGUACUAAGGUGUAUUUAUGCACAAAAGUUUUUGGUGCUUUAGGAGCUUGAAGGCGCAAGCUAGUACAA
rnacentral:tRNA from 1 species